rnacentral:rRNA from 1 species
ACGCUGGCGGCGUGCCUAAUACAUGCAAGUCGAACGGUCUUUUCUAUGGAAGCUUGCUUCCAACUGAGAAGAUAGUGGGCGAACGGGUGAGUAACGACGUGGGUAACCUGCCCAUAAGAGGGGGAUAACAUCCGGAACGGGUGCUAAUACCGCAUAGUUUUCUUGAUCGCAUGAUUGAGAAAGGAAGACGGCCUUUGUGCUGUCGCUUAUGGAUGGACCCGCGGCGUAUUAGUUAGUUGGUGAGGUAACGGCUCACCAAGACGAUGAUACGUAGCCGACCUGAGAGGGUGAUCGGCCACAUUGGGACUGAGACACGGCCCAAACUCCCACGGGAGGCAGCAGUAGGGAAUCUUCCGCAAUGGACGAAAGUCUGGACGGAGCAACGCCGCGUGAGUGAAGAAGGUUUUUCCGGAUCGUAAAACUCUGUUGUCAGAGAAGAACAAGUUGGAGAGUAACUGCUCCAGCCUUGACGGUAUCUGACCAGAAAGCCACGGCUAACUACGUGCCAGCAGCUGC